GGGGGUUUGAUCAUGGCUCAGAGCGAACGCUGGCGGCAUGCUUAACACAUGCAGGUCGCGCGGCCGGCAACGGCAGCGGCGGACGGGUGCGUAACGCGUAGGAACAUGUCCGGAGGUGGGGGACAACCCUGGGAAACUGGGGCUAAUACCGCAUGGGGGCUGAGGCCCAAAGCCGCGAGGCGCCUUUGGAGUGGCCUGCGUCCGAUUAGCUUGUUGGUGGGGUAACGGCCUACCAAGGCUGCGAUCGGUAGCUGGUCUGAGAGGACGACCAGCCACACUGGGACUGAGACACGGCCCAGACUCCUACGGGAGGCAGCAGUGGGGAAUAUUGGACAAUGGGCGCAAGCCUGAUCCAGCAAUGCCGCGUGGGUGAAGAAGGUCUUCGGAUUGUAAAGCCCUUUCGGCGGGGACGAUGAUGACGGUACCCNCAGAANAAGCCCCGGCUAACUUCGUGCCACAGCUCGCGGUUAAUACGAAGGGGGCUAGCGUUGCUCUAGAAUCACUUGGGCGGUAAUAGGGCGCGUUAGGCAGGCCCUGUUAUUCAGGCGUGUAAUUCCUUGGGUCUUCAACCUGGG
rnacentral:rRNA from 1 species